UAGGGAAUUUUCGUCAAUGGGGGGAACCCUGAACGAGCAAUGCCGCGUGUGUGAAGAAGGUCUUCGGAUCGUAAAGCACUGUUGUAAGUGAAGAAUGCCAUAUAGAGGAAAUGCUAUGUGGGUGACGGUAGCUUACCAGAAAGCCACGGCUAACUACGUGCCAGCAGCCGCGGUAAUACGUAGGUGGCAAGCGUUAUCCGGAAUCAUUGGGCGUAAAGGGUGCGUAGGUGGCACGAUAAGUCUGAAGUAAAAGGCAACAGCUCAACUGUUGUAUGCUUUGGAAACUGUCGAGCUAGGGUGCAGAAGAGGCGAUGGAAUUCCAUGUGUAGCGGUAAAAUGCGUAGAUAUAUGGAGGAACACCAGUGGCGAAGGCGGUUGCCUGGCCUGUAACUGACGCUCAUGCACGAAAGCGUGGGGAGCAAAUAGGAUUAGAUACC
rnacentral:rRNA from 1 species